rnacentral:rRNA from 1 species
AUUGAACGCUGGCGGCAUGCCUUACACAUGCAAGUCGAACGGUAACAGGUCUUCGGAUGCUGACGAGUGGCGAACGGGUGAGUAAUACAUCGGAACGUGCCCGAUCGUGAGGGAUAACGAAGCGAAAGCUUUGCUAAUACCGCAUAAGAUCUACGGAUGAAAGCAGGGGACCGCAAGGCCUUGCGCGAACGGAGCGGCCGAUGGCAGAUUAGGUAGUUGGUGGGAUAAAAGCUUACCAAGCCGACGAUCUGUAGCUGGUCUGAGAGGACGACCAGCCACACUGGGACUGAGACACGGCCUAGACUCCUACGGGAGGCAGCAGUGGGGAAUUUUGGACAAUGGGCGAAAGCCUGAUCCAGCCAUGCCGCGUGCAGGAUGAAGGCCUUCGGGUUGUAAACUGCUUUUGUACGGAACGAAAAGACUCUUUCUAAUAAAGAGGGUCCAUGACGGUACCGUAAGAAUAAGCACCGGCUAACUACGUGCCAGCAGCCGCGGUAA